rnacentral:rRNA from 1 species
CCCUGGUUGAUCCCGCCGGACCCGACUGCUAUCAGAGUGGGACUAAGCCAUGCGAGUCGACGUAGCAAUGCGUGGCGAACGGCUCAGUAACACGUAGUCAACAUGCCCAGGGGACGUGGAUAACCUCGGGAAACUGAGAAUAAACCACGAUAGGUCACGAUUUCUGGAAUGGAUCAUGGCCUAAAUCUACAUGGCCCCUGGAUUGGACUGCGGCCGAUCAGGCUGUUGGUGAGGUAAUGGCCCACCAAACCUAUAACCGGUACGGGCUCUGAGAGGAGAAGCCCGGAGAUGGGCACUGAGACAAGGGCCCAGGCCCUAUGGGGCGCAGCAGGCGCGAAACCUCUGCAAUAGGCGAAAGCCUGACAGGGUUACUCUGAGUGAUUUCCGCUAAGGGGAUCUUUUGGCACCUCUAAAAAUGGUGCAGAAUAAGGGGUGGGCAAGUCUGGUGUCAGCCGCCGCGGUAAUACCAGCUCCUCGAGUGGUCGGGGCGAUUAUUGGGCCUAAAGCAUCCGUAGCCGGUUCCGUAGGUCCUCUGUUAAAUCCAACCGCUUAACGGUUGACCUGCAGAGGAUACCGCGGGACUAGGAGGCGGGAGAGGCGGACGGUACUCCGCGUGUAGGGGUAAAAUCCUUUGAUCCGCGGAAGACCACCAGUGGCGAAGGCGGUCCGCCAGAACGCGCUCGACGGUGAGGGAUGAAAGCUGGGGGAGCGAACCGGAUUAGAUACCCGGGUAGUCCCAGCCGUAAACGAUGCUAGCUAGAUGAUUCAUUCGCAAGUCGCGAAUGAAGUGUCGCAGGGAAGCCGUUAAGCUAGCCGCCUGGGGAGUACGGUCGCAAGACUGAAACUUAAAGGAAUUGGCGGGGGAGCA